AUUCCAGCUCCAAUAGCGUAUAUUAAAGUUGUUGUGGUUAAAAAGCUCGUAGUUGGAUUUCGGCGGGCAUUGGUUGGUUUGAAUUGUUUCAACACUGACUAUUUUGCCCGUGUGUUUUGCCAGAAUUUAACGGGUGCUCUUCGCCGAGUGUCUGUUAGAGCUGGCAGGUUUACUUUGAAAAAAUUAGAGUGCUCAAAGCAAGCUUAAUCGCUUGAAUAUUCGUGCAUGGAAUAAUAGAAUAGGAAGUCGUUUCUAUUUUGUUGGUUUUCGGAAAUCGACUUAAUGAUUAAUAGGGACAGUCGGGGGCAUUUGUAUUCAAACGACAGAGGUGAAAUUCUUGGACCGUUUGAAGACAAACUACUGCGAAAGCAUUUGCCAAGAAUGUUUUCAUUAAUCAAGAACGAAAGUUAGAGGUUCGAAGGCGAUUAGAUACCGCCCUAGUUCUAACCAUAAACGAUGCCAGCUAGCGAUCUGUCGGCGUUUUAUUUUGACUUGACAGGGAGCUUCCGGGAAACCAAAGCGUGUGGGUUCCAGGGGAAGUAUGGUUGCAAAGCUGAAACUUAAAGGAAUUGACGGAAGGGCACCACCAGGAGUGGAGCCUGUGGCUUAAUUUGACUCAACACGGGAAAUCUCACCAGGCCCGGACACCAGAAGGAUUGACAGAUUGAUAGCUC
rnacentral:rRNA from 1 species